rnacentral:rRNA from 1 species
UACGAAGGGGGCUAGCGUUGUUCGGAAUUACUGGGCGUAAAGCGCACGUAGGCGGACUACUAAGUCAGGGGUGAAAUCCCGGGGCUCAGCCCCGGAACUGCCUUUGAUACUGAUAGUCUCGAGUCCGGAAGAGGUGAGUGGAAUUCCGAGUGUAGAGGUGAAAUUCGUAGAUAUUCGGAGGAACACCAGUGGCGAAGGCGGCUCACUGGUCCGGUACUGACGCUGAGGUGCGAAAGCGUGGGGAGCAAACAGG